rfam:Schistosoma margrebowiei strain Zambia genome assembly, scaffold: SMRZ_contig0000255
GUAUAGCUGAAGAGUCAUAAAUAGGACGAAACGGGCGUCCUGUAU